UGCUAGUUCAAAUGUGGAAGCAACACCAUCAAACAGUCGCACCUAGCAGCAAAUCAUUCAGAGUGGCAAGCUGGUUCGUCGCAAAAAGCUCCAAUCUCUAUUUGUCGGGAAGAGCAAGCAUUUCCAGAAACGAAAAACCACCGGAGGAGAGAUCGAUGUUGAUUAUGUUGCUGUUCUGUAACAUCCAGCCAACUCAAAACAACUAUAACCGAAGUGGCAGCGGCGAUUCAAGUAAGCAACAGCAAGCAACUUCUCGACUCGUCGGAUGCCUUAAAGUAACCGGUUCACCUUCAAGCUACCUACCUUGCCGACUUGCUUCAAUUGUGAGAUAAUUUUCUUGGAAAUAUUACCGCAAGUACCUAUUCGAUGAAAAUGCCGAACGGAAAUAUCUCCCUAAAUUUGCGGCGUUCUUAGGACGAUUUCGACUGCGAGGCGUUGCAUAGAAGUGAGAUUUUUUCGAGAUGGAAUGGACGCAGAAAGAAAGGAAAGCAGCAUGCAUGGAACAGGAAGAGCAAAUUCAAAAGAAACGAAACGAAAUAAACACAGUUUUACACGGAGCAGAUUCCGGCGCAAGUAGCCACGAAGCCUCCAGGUCAAACAGCUGGGACCAAUGCUAAAUCAGAAUGCUUGCAGGGUAGAUAUUCACCAAUUAAGGGGGCGGCCAUUAUUAACCGAAUGACGGCUCCACUCAAGACAAUUUAGGUGAUUUCGAAUGAUAUGUCGAGUACAUCAUAAUGCGUUCUGUGUGAUUAA